rnacentral:tRNA from 1 species
GGUGUAGCUUACUGGGAGAGCGUUUGCCUAGCAUGCACGAAGCCCUGGGUUCAAUCCCCAGCACC